GAGUACGUGAAACCGCUUAGAGGCAAACGGGUGGAACCGCAGAGUCGACCCGGGGGAUUCAACCUGCCGUCCGGGACGCGCUGGGGCGUCGGAGCCGCAAGGCCCGCACCUCGGCGUCCGGUCUCCGGUCGGCCUGGUGCACUUUCCUCGGGUCGAAAGCCACGACCGGCUCCCCGGCGGCCACAAGCCUGGCUGGGAAGGUGCCUUUCGGCUCGUCCGGAAGAGUUAUAGCCCAGCCUGUCGCAGGCUCGUCGGAGGGCCGAGGACGUUAGCCGCGUCUCACCGCCUCCGGGCCAUCUGCGCUCGUUUCGACUGGGGUGGACUGCUCGUCAGUGCUCUCCCGACCGCGAGCGUCGGAAGGGCUCGGCAGGCGCGAGGCGCUUCGGGCCGGUGGCGAAUCGGUCGGUCUUCCUCCCGACCCGUCUUGAAACACGGACCAAG
rnacentral:rRNA from 1 species